ACAAUUUAUUCUUUUUCUAGAAAAUCAAGAGUAAUCCCAUCUAAUGAUUAUUGCAGCAUUCAACUAUAGAUGCUUCAAAUCACAGUUCAGUGAGUCUUAUAAUUUGAAAUUCAGAUUGAUUUCAUACCUAGCACCCAAUCUCUGAGAGAUAUUACAGGAUAGUUAUUUGCAAAUAUGGAUUCUGGAACUUGACUGCCUGGAGUUGAAUUUUCUCUUUACCACUUACAACUAUAUGGACUUGAUUAAGUUUACUUUACCUCUGUGUUGCUGUCUGUAAAAUUAGGAGUGAUGAUAGUCCCUGCUCAGUCGUUGUUAUGUGGCUUAAUGUAGUUAGUAACUAACUCUAAUGUGCUCAGAAUUAAUGCCUGGCACAUAGGAAACACUAAACAAAUACUAACCUUAAUUUUUAUUGCUGCCUUUUCAUUUUGUUUUAUUGUAAGACAUAUAGUUGACAUUAUACAUUGUAGAGACAAAGUUGGGUAUAGUGGUAAUGGCAUAAUAUGUCUGUUGCUGUUUAAAUUAACUUUACAAGUUUUUUAUAAUUGUAUAUAUUCCUUAUAUAUGGUACUAUGCUGCAUAAGAACACUUUACCAAGGAAUAGAUUGUGAAUUGAGCACUCCAAUCAAAUAACCCCUGUGCUUCUCUUUUUAACAGUUUCCCUUUUCACUUUGAAUUGUCAUAUUUCAGUUACAGCUGUCCUGUUCUUCUGUCUAAAUGGGGUCUGUUUGUAUUUAGUUCCAAAAUUCGACCAUUAAUAUUAUAGACUGUCCCAGCUGUGAAGGACCACAUAAAGAAUUGCUAAGCUAUUUUGAAACAUUCACUGUGAGGGGAAGUAUUUCAGAGAAGGUACGGGCUUCCUUGGAAGCCAGAAGAGGGCAGAGGGUAUCAGAUCCCAUGAAGCUGGAGGUGAUUGUGAGCCACUAAAUAUGAAUGCUGAAAACUCUGGUCCUAAGAACACCAAGUAAUCGCCAUCUCUCUAACCCCUCAUACUCAAUUUGCUUUAAUAGUAGAAACAUAUUAAGAGGGAAAAUCAGCAAUAAACCCCUUUUGUGAUAAAAAUAUUAAAACAGAUUGAUAGGAAGAUAGAAACUACUUGUCGUCUUCACCCCUUAUUUUUUGUUGCUUUGGUUUUUGCUUUUAAUUUUUUGAAACAUGGUCUCAGGAGCUCAGGCUGACCUGGACAUUGUUCAUGGCAGUUCUGUGCUUUAGCUCCCUAGCUCAGGGACUAUAGGCAUGACCCAUCAUAUCCAACUUUGCUUACAGAUCUUUUUAUUGCUGCUUUUAAACUUUUAUUUUAAGUCUAAAAAAUAAAUAGUGGGGGAAAAAACCUAUCUAGAUUUUUGUUUUUGUUUGUUUUUUUGGUCUCAGUUACUAAUUUUCAUUUCUUUAAGGUAAAAAUUAAAUUUCUUUUAAUUUUUUAACUUGUAUUUUUAUUUUAUGUGUAAUGGGUUUGCCUGAUCAUGAGUCUUUGUACCACAUGCUUGCGGUUACCUUGUGGGUGCUGGGACUCUUAGCCACUGAGCCAUUUCUCAAAAUCUGGAGAUUAAGUAAAUUUAGUGUUAAAAUUUUUUUAGAGUUUUAUUCCUUUUACGAAGAGGAGGAUGAGUUGUUCAGCAUUUUCUCUUACUUCAUAGAAUAUAUUCUUGGCCUAGUAUAGUAGGUAAAGGUGUUUGUUGCCAAACCCAACCCCCAGUUUGAUUCCCAAAAGAAGAAGCAAGUUGACCUUUGGUUUUCACAUGUAUACAGUGGCCAGGAAUCUCUCUUAUCUUUAUAUUUUUAAAACAUAUUUUAACUGGGUGGUAGUGGCACAUCCUUUAGUCCCAGCACUUGGGAGGCAGAGACAGGCAUCUACGAGUCUGAGAACAGCCGGGGCUACACAAAGAAACCUAUAAAGUGCCUGUAUGUAUGUAUGUCUGAAGGUGUCAGAUAUUAAGAGUUAUAGACAUUUGCGAUCUGCUAUGUGGGUACGAGGAUUUGAACCUGGGUCCUCUGGAAGAGCUGUCAAUGCUUUUAACCCCUGAGCCACCUCUCCAGCCCCUAACAUUUUUUACAAUAAGAUUAAAUAAUGGUUAAGAUGUAUUCACUGAGGUCUUGCAAAGUAAUUUUUUAUCACUGAUGUACUACCUGUGUCUUGUUAGCUGAAGCCUGGUAUCUGGUAUAAAAACUUGAAGUAAACUAGUCAGUAGGAUGGACCUGCUUUAUAACUAGUAGCUACCAUUUAUACCUGGAAAGAAUAUUGGAAUAUGAAAAGUUAGAGUAUUUUCAAAUAAGUUGAUUGUGGCUUGAAGAGCAAGGGGUAUUUUUUCUCUCAAGAUAAGAAAAACUAGUGGGAACAGCAUGAACCAAAAACCCAGGAGUAUGUAUGUACUUUAUAAAGUAUAUUAACAGGUGUAAGGCUGGGUGGUGGCUGUAAUUCCUCUUUUUCCCCCUUAUCUCUUUUGUUCUGAUUUUUAGUAGGCAGUUGGUAAGCAUUUGCAAAUUGAUAAGUAUUAAUACCAAGUCUAGUUGUGUAUGUGUAUAUAUGUGUGUGAAUGUAUAUGUAUGUUAAUAUUGUCUUUUUAUAAAGAAUGAGAUCAAGUCAAAUCUGCUUGGUGAAGCCAAGUUAAAAGAAAUCCAUUUGUUUUUCAGCGAGGAGCAAAAAAUUAAAAACCUUUGACCCAGACAAUAGCUAAAAUAUAAGGUUUCUGGUAUCUUAAAAAGUAAAACUGAUGAGAUUUUAUGUUGCUGAUUAUGGUGAAACAGUGUUAAGAAUAAUUUACAUUACAAGGUUUUAUUGAAAAUAUUUAAAAACUGUUUUGGUUGUGUCUUCAACAUAUAUAUUACUGUCUUUUAUUGGACAGUGCUUUUAUAUUUUUUUCAAGGUUGGCACAUAUGAGAUACACUUGUCCUAAAUAUUACACAGCUACAGGUUUUAGAAGUAUAACAAUAGAAACUUUAUUUGGUUUAAGGGAUGAAAUUAUGGUUCUGUUGUUUAUGCUUGAGUUCUUAAUGUGCCUUUCCCCCUACCACUCUCCCUAACCCCCAAAAUAAGUAAAUAAACAACCCAAAACCAGAGUUUUUCUUUGUAGUCCUGGCUGUCCUGGAAUUUACUCUAUAGACCAGGGUGACCUUGCAGCUCAGAGAUCUGCCUGCCUCUGCCUCCCAAGUGCUGGGAUUAAAGGUGUGUGUCACCACCUCCUAGUGAGUUCUAAGGUUCUAGUUGUGAAGGAAACAUAUUUUUAUAACUCCUGGAAA